AUGCAAGUCGAGGGGCAGCGCGGGUAGCAAUACCUGGCGGCGACCGGCGAAAGGGUGAGUAACGCGUGAGCAACGUGCCCGUAUGUGGGGAUAGUCAUUAGAAAUGAUGCGUAAUACCCCGUAACACAUGGAUCCGCAUGGUUCCAUGUUGAAAGAUUUAUUGCAUACGGAUCGGCUCGCGUGCCAUUAGCUGGAUGGCGGGGUAACGGCCCACCAUGGCGACGAUGGCUAGGGGUUCUGAGAGGAAGGUCCCCCACAUUGGAACUGAGACACGGUCCAGACUCCUACGGGAGGCAGCAGUGAGGAAUAUUGGACAAUGGCCGGAAGGCUGAUCCAGCCAUGCCGCGUGCGGGAAAGACGGCCCUAUGGGUUGUAAACCGCUUUUGCGGGGGAGCAAUAAGGUGCACGCGUGCACCGAUGAGAGUACCCUGCGAAUAAGCAUCGGCUAACUCCGUGCCAGCAGCCGC
rnacentral:rRNA from 1 species